rnacentral:rRNA from 1 species
GACGAACGCUGGCGGCGUGCCUAAUACAUGCAAGUCGAACGCAGUGGGGACGGGUGAGUAACACGUGGGUAACCUCCCAUCAGAGGGGAUAACACUUGGAAACAGGUGCUAAACCGAUACUGAUGGAUGAACCCGCGGGGCAUUAGCUAGUUGGUGAGGUAACGGCUCACCAAGGCCACGAUGCAUAGCGUACCGGGGAGGGUGAUCGGCCACACGGGGACUGAGACACGGCCCAGACUCCGACGGGAGGCAGCAGGAGGGAAUCUUCGGCAAUGGACGAAAGUCUGACCGAGCAACGCCGCGUGAGUGAAGAAGGUCUUCGGAUCGUAAAGUUCUGUUGUUAGAGAAGCGAAAUCUAACGAGAAAGCCACGGCUAACUACGUGCCAGCAGCCGCGGAAAUAC